UAAGAAAACGUUGCUCGCGUUAUCAAAGCUUGCAUAAGACUGACAAAGCUGAUUGACUCCGAGCAGAAGAAAGGAUUUGGCAGGAGAGAGCCAGUCGCUUGUUUUUUGACUCUUCUGUUUUGGACCUCCACCAGAGCAUAUCUGUGAUUGUCGACACACACCGGAGAGGGUCCGAAUGUACAACAAUGUAAUGAAAUAUUCGAUCUUUCACCGACGUAUUUGGGUAUCUGUUGACGUUCACCGGUGAAAGUUGACAUUCUCCAAUUUCGGUCAUUCACGGUAACAUAGACACGAAACUUACUGCUCCUAUUGCCACGAUACGGUCAAAAUGAUGUAUGUAGACGUGAACGAAAACUCUAAACAAGCGCGUCAAGAUUUUUCUACACAGCGGCACAAACGUUUUUGGGAACGACACUGGGAAUAUGUUCUCGUUAUUUAUUUGCGCUUCUAUCCAAUCCAUAAGAAGACUGACGUACUGCGGUGCUGGUAACGCUGUAGGCUUCUUGUAUUUCUCACCGUCCGCCCACAAGUAUUCAAAACGAGCACCGCCGCUCAUCGUUGGACACGACGCGGAGUCACAAUAUUCAGAAACACAAAUCCAUCCGAGUACCGUGAACAGCGAUCCAGUCGUUAAGAUCCUCGCCAGGAGGCAACUUCACCACAGACCUUAAAUUAAUUCCAGAAUUAAGGGAAGCCUGUGCCUGCUUGUGCAGGGAAUACCGUAACGUUCCAUGAGCAAACUUUUUCUUUGGUCUAAAUGUCU